rnacentral:rRNA from 1 species
GAUCAUGGCUCAGGAUGAACGCUGGCGGCGUGCUUAACACAUGCAAGUCGAACGAAGCACUUAAGACAGAUUCUUCGGAUGAAGUUUUUUGUGACUGAGUGGCGCACGGGUGAGUAACGCGUAUCCAACCUGCCCAUCACUUGGGAAUAACCUUGCGAAAGUAAGACUAAUGCCCAAUGAUAUCCCACGAAGGCAUCCGAAUGGGAUUAAAGAUUUAUCGGUGAUGGAUGGGGA